AUUGAACGCUGGCGGCAUGCUUUACACAUGCAAGUCGAACGGUAACAGGCCGCAAGGUGCUGACGAGUGGCGAACGGGUGAGUAAUGCAUCGGAACGUGCCCAGUCGUGGGGGCUAACGCAGCGAAAGCUGCGCUAAUACCGCAUACGAACUCCGGAUGAAAGCGGGGGACCGAAAGGCCUCGCGCGAUUGGAGCGGCCGAUGUCAGAUUAGGUAGUUGGUGGGGUAAAGGCCCACCAAGCCAACGAUCUGUAGCUGGUCUGAGAGGACGACCAGCCACACUGGGACUGAGACACGGCCCAGACUCCGACGGGAGGCAGCAGGGGGGAAUUUUGGACAAUGGGCGCAAGCCUGAGCCAGCAAUGCCGCGGGCAGGAAGAGGGCCUUCGGGUUGUAAACUGCUUUUGUACGGAACGAAACGGUCCGGGUUAAUACCCUGGGCUAAUGACGGUACCGUAAGAAUAAGCACCAGCUAACUACGUGCCAGCCGCCGCCGUAACAC
rnacentral:rRNA from 1 species